rnacentral:rRNA from 1 species
AACGAACGCUGGCGGCAUGCCUAACACAUGCAAGUCGAACGAGACCUUCGGGUCUAGUGGCGCACGGGUGCGUAACGCGUGGGAACCUGCCCUUAGGUUCGGAAUAACUCCCCGAAAGGGGUGCUAAUACCGGAUAAUGUCUUCGGACCAAAGAUUUAUCGCCUUUGGAUGGGCCCGCGUUGGAUUAGCUAGUUGGUAGGGUAAAAGCCUACCAAGGCGACGAUCCAUAGCUGGUCUGAGAGGAUGAUCAGCCACACUGGGACUGAGACACGGCCCAGACUCCUACGGGAGGCAGCAGUGGGGAAUAUUGGACAAUGGGCGAAAGCCUGAUCCAGCAAUACCGCGUGAGUUAUGAAGGCCUUAGGGUUGUAAAGCUCUUUUACCCGGGAUGAUAAUGACAGUACCGGGAGAAUAAGCUCCGGCUAACUCCGUG